rnacentral:rRNA from 1 species
UACGUAGGGGGCAAGCGUUGUCCGGAAUCAUUGGGCGUAAAGAGCGUGUAGGCGGCUCGGUAAGUCCGUUCUGAAAGUCCAGGGCUCAACCCUGGGAUGCGGAUGGAUACUGCCGGGCUCGAGUCCGGAAGAGGCGAGUGGAAUUCCCGGUGUAGCGGUGGAAUGCGUAGAGAUCGGGAAGAACAUCAGUGGCGAAGGCGGUCUGCUGGGCCGUUGCUGACGCUGAGGCGCGACAGCGUGGGGAGCAAACAGG